rnacentral:rRNA from 1 species
GUCUUUUAGAAAAUAAUUUAAAGUCUAAUCUGCCCACUGAUUUUUAAUUAAAGGGCUGCAGUAUAUUGACUGUACAAAGGUAGCAUAAUCAUUAGUCAUUUAAUUGAUGACUUGUAUGAAAGAUUGGAUGAAAUAUGAACUGUCUCUUAUUUAAAUAUAAAAUUUAAUUUUUUUAUCAAAAAGUUAAAAUAGUUUAAAAAGACGAGAAGACCCUAUAGAGUUUUAUUAAUAUAUUAAUUAAGAUUAUAUGUAAAAUAAAUUUAAAAUUAAAUUAUUAAUUUUAUUGGGGUGAUAGAAAAAUAUAUUUAACUUUUUUUAAGUAAAACAUUUAUAAGUGGUUAAAUGAUCCAAUAAUGUUGAUUAUAAGAAUAAAUUACCUUAGGGAUAACAGCGUAAUUUUUUUUUUUAGUUCAAAUAAAAAAAAGAGUUUGCGACCUCGAUGUUGGAUUAAGAUAAAAUUUAAAUGCAGAAGUU